rnacentral:rRNA from 1 species
GGCUUGUUUUUGUGCACCCGGAAUGCGACCGGUCUCGUCAGAUCUCGGAAGCUAAGCAGGUUUGAGCCUGGAUAGUGUUUGAAUGGGCGACCACCAGUGGUGGCUCGUCAUCAGGGCCC